UGAGUGAAAAUAUAUAUCUUUCUCUCUACCUAUUUCAAUAUAUAUAUAUAUAUUACACCACACCACAUAAAAUGGAUGUCUCUCUUACAUAGUGGAAUGGAUCAGAGAGAAUUGUAUUAGAAGAAAAUUGUCCGUGGAGUAUGUAUGGAAGCGAUUCGUGAAUGCAAGAUUUAAAACAUGAUGUUAUUAUCGUGGGAUAUGGGUAAGGACCAUCAAUUGAAGAAGUAUCGAGGAACUGUCGCACAACAAAGAGCGAUAAAGGUAUAGUCUGACAAGCCUAGUGAUUCCAAGGAAGUACAACUGAAUAAGUUUGAUCAUGGCGGUGUGCUUUGAGCCUUGAAGGUAUUUGGUUGGAUAAUUACUAGAUGACUUGGAGGUAGCACUCCAAAUAUCAGGAGCUACCAUGCAACACACGUUUACCUCGACUGUCGCAUAUAUGUGUCUCGGGUUGAGUUUAGGGGGAUCUAUGAGAACAUACCAAUUUAAAUUGUCUGUUCACCGGAAUGUUGGCAUAAUAUCAAGUCUCAUAACCAAAUAUUUCAGAAUUAGAAUUGUACUAUAUUGUGUAGAGUCUAAGCUCAUUCACAUAAU